GUCGAACGGCGGCACGGAGCUUGCUCUGGUGGCGAGUGGCGAACGGGUGAGUAAUAUAUCGGAACGUACCCUAGAGUGGGGGAUAACGUAGCGAAAGUUACGCUAAUACCGCAUACGAUCUAAGGAUGAAAGUGGGGGAUCGCAAGACCUCAUGCUCGUGGAGCGGCCGAUAUCUGAUUAGCUAGUUGGUAGGGUAAAAGCCUACCAAGGCAUCGAUCAGUAGCUGGUCUGAGAGGACGACCAGCCACACUGGAACUGAGACACGGUCCAGACUCCUACGGGAGGCAGCAGUGGGGAAUUUUGGACAAUGGGCGAAAGCCUGAUCCAGCAAUGCCGCGUGAGUGAAGAAGGUCUUCGGAUUGUAAAGCUCUUUUGUCAGGGAAGAAACGGUGAAAGCUAAUAUCUUUUGCUAAUGACGGUACCUGAAGAAUAAGCACCGGCUAACUACGUGCCAGCAGCCGCGGUAAU
rnacentral:rRNA from 1 species